CCUUUCUUACAGAUGAUCUGUCAACACUUACCUGUAGUUUUAUCAAAAGCUUGACAUGUAUAAAAGUUCAUUAAAUUUUGUUGACAAGUAAUUCGAGACUCUUAUAUUGUUAUCAAUGUUUACACGUUGUUUGCGUAAAAUAGCCACAACCACUUAAGAUUUAUUACUUAUUUUUGUAAUGUGGGAAUGAAUGCACAUGACGUAUUAACUCAUCUGUGACUUUUAACAUUACGGUGAAACUUAAAUUUUAAAAGCAUACUAAUUCAUUGGGUGUACGGACUUAAAAAUGGAGGUUAAAAAAAUGAUGGUACAUGUUUGUGUAUUUAUGGUGGCAGGUAUGUUAUAUGUGUAUAUAAAUGUAGGUUUUAUAUAAAGUGUUAUAGUUGUUGUUCUAUAUUUAAAAAAAAUGUAAACCGGACACAUCCAUGUCGUACGAAGCCCUCGGG
rnacentral:lncRNA from 1 species